UCUCCCGAUACUGUCAUUAUCAUCUCGGGUAAAAGAGCUUUACAACCCUAAGGCCUUCAUCACUCACGCGGCAUUGCUGGAUCAGGCUUUCGCCCAUUGUCCAAUAUUCCCCACU
rnacentral:rRNA from 1 species